CAAACAAACGCAUCGUAAUUGCAUUGGACCGUUCAAUAAAUAAAUUGGCAAGUGUUGUUGUUAUUGUUGCUAUCAAUUUGCUGGAAGGGAGAGCCAGAUCCUAUUUUAGCCGUCAUUGAGUUCGGAUCGAUCGGUUACAAUAAUUUAAAGUGCAGCUGUGUGAAAAGUUUCCCUUUUCCACAAUCAAACAAAUUUAAUCACUAACAGAGGCAAAAAAAGAGCAAAAGAAACAAACGAGCAAGGCAGAGCAAGUAAAACGGACAGAAAAAACUUUCAUUUUCAAUGUCAAGCAACAAUAACAACAACAAAAAACCGUCUGCCGGUUGGGGGAGGCGAUUUUGUGAUGAGAGAGCCAAAAACAGAGAGCGGAAUUAAGAAAGAGAAAAGAAGAAGAUUUAAAAAGUUUUGCCAUAUCGUUUUUGAUUUUGGCGGGAGAGCGCUUUUUGCCCCUCUCGAUAACACUGCCACACCGCUCUCUUCCCUUUUCCGUCCCGCUCACACCAUGUGGUUACAACCAGACGCGUGGCCUUUGCAACAACAACAGUCUUACAACAAUAGAUGCACAUACUGACACUCGCCGCACACUCACACUCGCACAGAUGGGCAAAAUAUUGAAAAAUUGCCAAAAUAAGAGACCAGACAUUUUUCGAAUGUCGAAAGCAAGAUAUACUAUACACACCAUAUAUCAUAUAAUGGGAAGAGCUCUUGAAAACUCACCAUGCUCAUAAGGCGAAAAGGUUCCAGCAUCUAUAUUGAUAUAGGGGUCAAUCUUGAUUGAGGUUACAUCCAGACCACAGGAUUUCAAAAGCGUUCCGAACGAGGAGGCAAUCACUCCUUUUCCCACGCCACUAAUGACGCCGCCAGUGACCAGGAUGUAUUUCAUCUUUCCGUCUCGAAUUUCGAACUAUCGUAUCACCAAAUCUCGCGGAUAAUUGUAUUAUCGGUUCAAUUCGCGAUGGACACUCAAUCUGGGGCAAUCCGAGCAACAAUUGCGUUGUUUAUUUGCCUUUUUAUGCACGUGGUUUUUGAAUUAAGAAAUUAGAAAUUCGCAUGUAUGGUAUGACCACCACUCAUUUUAUUGAUAAUACCAGUGACUCACAUGUGUUGUUAAACGUCACAAAACCGCGCGGAUGUGAACAUCUACAUUUCUCUUACAUGACUACUACAUGACUCCUCGCACUGAAAAAUAAACAAGAAUCAAAUGUCAUUUUAGCAUAGAAGUUACCUAUUUAUUUGUUGAUUUAUUUGUACAACGCAAGCUUGCGAUUGAAGCCUAAAGAAACAUUGGCCUACAAUUCGUAUUACUUUCAUUUGUUUAUAUUUUUACUCUUUGUGUAGAGUUUGUGUUUUUAAAAGGAAUUUCACGAUUUAUUUUACCCAUUUAAAGUGUAAAUAAAUCAUAAUAUCCGGUAAAUUUGAAUUGUCAUUUAUCCAAAC